rnacentral:rRNA from 1 species
GAUGAACGCUGGCGGCGUGCUUAACACAUGCAAGUCGAACGGGAUCCAUCAAGCUUGCUUGGUGGUGAGAGUGGCGAACGGGUGAGUAAUGCGUGACCGACCUGCCCCAUACACCGGAAUAGCUCCUGGAAACGGGUGGUAAUGCCGGAUGCUCCAGUUGAUCGCAUGGUCUUCUGGGAAAGCUUUCGCGGUAUGGGAUGGGGUCGCGUCCUAUCAGCUUGACGGCGGGGUAACGGCCCACCGUGGCUUCGACGGGUAGCCGGCCUGAGAGGGCGACCGGCCACAUUGGGACUGAGAUACGGCCCAGACUCCUACGGGAGGCAGCAGUGGGGAAUAUUGCACAAUGGGCGCAAGCCUGAUGCAGCGACGCCGCGUGAGGGAUGGAGGCCUUCGGGUUGUAAACCUCUUUUAUCGGGGAGCAAGCGAGAGUGAGUUUACCCGUUGAAUAAGCA